rnacentral:rRNA from 1 species
AAAACCAACCUAUGGGAGGCAGCAGUGGGGAAUCUUAGACAAUGGGCGCAAGCCUGAUCUAGCCAUGCCGCGUGAGCGAUGAAGGCCUUAGGGUUGUAAAGCUCUUUCAGUGGGGAAGAUAAUGACGGUACCCACAGAAGAAGCCCCGGCUAACUCCGUGCCAGCAGCCGCGGUAAUACGGAGGGGGCUAGCGUUGUUCGGAAUUACUGGGCGUAAAGCGCACGUAGGUGGAUCAGAAAGUCAGAGGUGAAAUCCCAGGGCUCAACCUUGGAACUGCCUUUGAAACUCCUGAUCUUGAGGUCGAGAGAGGUGAGUGGAAUUCCGAGUGUAGAGGUGAAAU